rnacentral:rRNA from 1 species
UGAGGAAUUUUGCACAAUGGAGGAAACUCUGAUGCAGCGACGCCGUGUGAGGGAUGAAGGGGCUUUGCCUUGUAAACCUCUGUCGGGUGGGAAAAAAACGUUCGGUCGCCGAACUGGGAUUGUACCAUCAAAGGAAGGGUCGGCUAACUACGUGCCAGCAGCCGCGGUAAUACGUAGGACCCAAGCGUUGUCCGGAUUUACUGGGUGUAAAGGGUGCGCGGGCGGAUCUGUGCGUCGAGGGUUAAAUAUCCAGGCUCAACCUGGAAAACUGCCCUCGAUACGGCAGGUCUUGAGUACGAGAGAGGAUAGUAGAAUUCCUGGUGUAGCGGUGAAAUGCGUAGAUAUCAGGAGGAAUACCAGUGGCGAAGGCGGCUAUCUGGCUCGUAACUGACGCUUAGGCAC